CUUCCCAUUUAAUUGCUGCCAUGCUGUCUCAGUAGUAUGAGCAGUUAUACGCAUGGGAUAAAGUAAUCAGUCCACUGUAGGUUUGUGAUGGAGCAAGCAAUGUUUCACCUUUACAAGUGGGUCUGGACACUU
rnacentral:snoRNA from 1 species